GACGAACGCUGGCGGCGUGCCUAAUUCAUGCAAGUCGAGCGGACGAAUCGAAAGCUUGCUUUUGAUUCGUUAGCGGCGGACGGGUGAGUAACACGUGGGCAACCUGCCCUGUAGACGGGGAUAACACCGAGAAAUCGGUGCUAAUACCGGAUAACACGAAAUGUCGCAUGACGUUUCGUUGAAAGACGGCGCAAGCUGUCGCUACAGGAUGGGCCCGCGGCGCAUUAGCUAGUUGGUGAGGUAACGGCUCACCAAGGCGACGAUGCGUAGCCGACCUGAGAGGGUGAUCGGCCACACUGGGACUGAGACACGGCCCAGACUCCUACGGGAGGCAGCAGUAGGGAAUCUUCCGCAAUGGACGAAAGUCUGACGGAGCAACGCCGCGUGAGCGAAGAAGGCCUUCGGGUCGUAAAGCUCUGUUGUUAGGGAAGAACAAGUAACGCAGUAACUGGCGUUACCGUGACGGUACCUAACGAGAAAGCCACGGCUAACUACGUG
rnacentral:rRNA from 1 species